CAUGUAGGUGGGUUUUCUACCUGGAAAUCAAGCCUUCCAUUUACUACUAGGUAAUACGAGCUUUCGAUAGAGAAUAUAUAUGUGUAGCAAAGUUGGUUAUCAUUGCCAACAACUGCCCUCCUCUUUGGAAGUCUGAGAUAAUGUACUACGCCAUGUUGGCGAACGUUGGAGUUCACCACUACAAUGGGACAAGCAUCAAGUUAUGGAUGCAUGGAAUUUGACAAAAUAGGAAUCAUCCACUUUUCUGAAAAACCGUGGGAAAAGAGAGAUCAUCCACUUUUCGGAGAAUCCAAAAGGGGUUGCAGUGACACAUAUAUGACUUUAUAUUCAGCUUUCUCACUUCAAUUCUUAAUGGUGGUGAAACAAAUAGGAUGUUAUUGUGAUAUUGGCGGUUUUUACGUACUCAAAAUCACUUAUAUUGUCAGGAGUUUUAUUGUAGGAAUUGGAGAAGCGUUGACUUGCUGAGUGUGGUUUCUAAUUUCUGAUUUCGAUGUUAUAAUUUGCUAGAAACUUCGGACUAUUGGGAUCGAGAAUGUGUAUUGGGAUGGUAGGAAUGUGUAGAUUUUUUUUAAUGUAAUUUUUCUUUUAUUGUGAUAAAUUGACUCUGAUGAUGAGGACCAA